rnacentral:rRNA from 1 species
GACGAACGCUGGCGGCGUGCUUAACACAUGCAAGUCGAACGGUGAAGCGCCUUCCUUUUUGGUGGGUGUGGAUGAGUGGCGAACGGGUGAGUAACACGUGGGUAACCUGCCCCCUUCUUCUGGAUAACCGCAUGAAAGUGUGGCUAAUACGGGAUAUUCUGGGUCUGUCGCAUGAUGGGUCUGGGAAAGAUAUUGUUUCGGUGGGGGAUGGGCUCGCGGCCUAUCAGCUUGUUGGUGGGGUGAUGGCCUACCAAGGCGGUGACGGGUAGCCGGCCUGAGAGGGUGGACGGGCACACUGGGACUGAGACACGGCCCAAACUCCUACGGGAGGCAGCAGUGGGGAAUAUUGCACAAUGGGCGCAAGCCUGAUGCAGCGACGCCGCGUGAGGGAUGGAGGCCUUCGGGUUGUGAACCUCUUUCGCCAGUGAAGCAGGCCUGCCUCGUUUGUGGGUGGGUUGACGGUAGCUGGAUAAGAAGCGCCGGCUAACUACGUG